UGCACUCCUUCCCUGCUCGCCUCUCCCCCAACUCCCCCCAUUGAAUCCCUGUUGUGUUACGUCACAGUCCUGCGACGGGAGGCGUGUGACGUCUGGGUUCCAUGCCCCACACGUGUCAGGGCGCUAGAAGCAAUCGGGGCUGCCGGGCUAUUGAACAUCGGACCGGGACCGGGACUGCGGCCUGUGUUACGAAUAAGCGGGACUGACCCGGGAAUAGCAGCACUGUUGGGGGCCAUAGAAGACCUAAGAAACAACAAAAAUGACUUCGCUCGCACAACAGCUGAAACGACUGGCCCUGCCACAGACUGACCUAAGCUUGUACAAUCGGAAGGAGGUCGCCUCCCUUCUUUUUGAACCCAAGGAAGCUGCUGAAAUUGACCAAGACACCUUCUUUGCUAUCGGAUGCACUGGCCUGGAUGAGUUGAUGGGUAUUGAUCCGUCCUUCGAACCUUUUCAGGAAUCUCUCUUCAGUCUCGCCUCUAAAAGUUUGCAGCGCAGUGUUCAGACAAAAGCUGUGAAUGAGCAACUGAAUGAGACUAUUGGAAAAUUUCUUAUUCAUCUUUCUCCAUACUUCUUGCUCAAGCCUGCUCAGAAAUGCCUGGAGUGGCUUAUCCAUAGGUUUCACAUCCACCUCUACAACCAAGACAGUCUGAUAGGCUGUAUACUGCCAUAUCAUGAAACAAAAGUGUUUGUUCGGGCUGUUCAGCUCCUAAAGAUCAGUGAUCCAACUCACAAAUGGCAUUGGCUGCAUGCUAUUCAGAAACCUGGGGUCCCUCUUGCAAGAGGCACACUAAUCACACAUUGCUACAAGGAUAUGGACUUCAUGGAAUUCAUUUGUCAUUUGGUUACUAAAUCUGUUAAGGAGUUUUCUGAAGUGCCAGAAAGUUCUGCACAGCUCAGAGUUCUUUUGUCUUUCUAUGUUUCUACAGUAGUGUCUGCAUUGAAUACUGUAGAGAAAGUUUCUGAUACUUUUAUUGCAAAACUUCUCCCAUACAUUCAGAAGGGUUUAAAGUCCUCCUUGCUGGAUUUCAAAGCUGCCACAUACAUGAUCAUCUGCGAGUUAGCAGUAAAGACUGUGAUGGCCCCCACACUAGUGAAAGCCCUGGCAUCACAGAUCACUCGAACCCUCCCCAAAACGCCCUCUUUGGUUCGUGAUGGUGUUGGUUGUGUAAUAAUCCUAUUGCAGUGUCAGGAGACCAACAAUUUGGGGAAGAAGCCAUUUGUUAACCUGUGCAAGGUGUCAGACAUAGUUUCCAUACUGCAGGGAAUUGCAAGCUUGUAUGAGACCACCUCUUUGCUGACUUAUUUGUUACCAAACCUGGUAUGCUCAGUUAUCCACUCAUCAGAAGAGGACAGCACAGAAGAGCCGAGUCAAGAUCUAUGUAAAGGUCACCUUGAAGCAAUACUCAGUACUAUAGACCUUGGGAAAGAUUUAAACAAGCUUGUAGCAUGCACAUUCUUGGAGGAAUUUCUCUCGUAUGGGGAGAUGCACCAAGCUGAGCCUCAGAAAAUUUCAGACCUUUGCCAGCGCCUCCUUCCUCUCAUCAGACUCUUUGAAAGCAAAUACCCCACAGCCCUCGAUUCUGUUUUGGAAGAACAUCUUAAAAAUGUUGGAGAUCAGGAGAAUCAAAGUUUAUUUCACCAGUUCAUAUCCCUCUCCACCAGUGGUGGAAAAUACGAGUUACUGGCAGAUUGUGAUACCACCCUCCUGCUCAGCUUGAAUCACCCACAGCCUGCAGUGAGACACAUUGCUCUGAAACAUCUGAAGGACAUCAUAGAGACAUCUAAGGCAGGCUUUGAUGAGGCCUUUAUUCAGGAAUCCAUUUUAUCCCGUCUCGCUGAUGAUAACCUGCAGGUUGUGCUGUCUGCUCUGGAUGUAUUUAAAAUUUAUCGCUCCAAUUUCAGUACAGAAGUUACAGUCUCAAAUCUGCUUGCCCUCUUUGAUCGCGUUGACCUCUCCCAAGAUGGUGGCUGGUGCAAAGCUCUUGAAGAAGCCAUUCGCCUGAUCCAGGAGACCUCCAUCAAAGAGAAUCCUGAGCUCUGUACUAGAGUUAUCAUGACCAUAAUUCCUCACAUGGUUUUGACAAAUAUUGAUCCUAACUCUUCUGAAAGAAAAAUGUCAGUUUUUCUAGCAAAGAGCAAUAUCUGUAACCUACACCCACUGCUGAAGGACUGGCCAGAAGAACUUGACAAAAUCUUAAAGGAUGCUGAAGCUACACAUCUGAUUGGCCUGGCAAACAGUAGACUGGCUCAGCUAAUUUCAAAUAACUUGAAUUCUACAGAUACCUCAGCGUUACAGCUGGUGGAGGAUGUGGUGCAGGUGGUUGAAAGGGAGCCUGUUACUGUGAGACAGAAAGUGGCCUCACUUGUGCUCAGUCAUGCCCUGGUACUUGGAUGUAAUGGAUUUCAAGAUGUGGAGCUACAGCCACAAUUAAAAGUGUUUCACCUUCUUGAGAAGAGACUGAGAAGAAUGGAUACUUUAGCAGAGGAUAUCCCAGAGAAGUGGCAUCUUGACAGCAUAAAUCAGAGCCAGCUGCUUGUACAACUGCUGUCUGACUAUGUCGAUGAGCUAAAUCACGGGCGCACAGCAUGCACUGAAGAAAAUAUUUUACUGAUGCUGCUGUUAAAGAACUUAAUAUGCAAUCUUGGUUGUCCUGAAUCAUUCCCUAAAGGUAACAUAUGGUGGAAUCCUGAGACUAUGAACAGUAUAAGCAGGAAUUACUUGCGGCUUCUCAUUGGUCUCUUUGAUGUGAUAAUCUGGGGUGCAAGUGAAGGAGUGUGUACCAACUUCAGACUUUUAAUGGGUUACUUAUUCAAGGAACAUUUAAAAAGUGAUGAGGAUCUUUUCAACUUCCUCUCCAUCUUGUGGACCUAUAGCUGUAAUCUUUCUGAUCCUUUGGGCUGCUCCGUAAAUGCGGUGCUGCACACUCGGGCACUUUACAUAGGCAAUACAUUACUUGCCUCCCAGCCAACUGUGAAGAAAACGCAACUGCUUUCAGUCUCCUCACCAGUUCUGGUGUCUUUGCUGAUCAACCUGACAAGUCCUAUAAGGGAAGUGCGCCGAGCGGCAAUUAGUUGCCUACAGACACUCAGCUUAGGGAUGGAUUCUCCAUUGUUGCCAGUUGUACAGUGUCUGGUAGGGAGAACUGAAGAGAUAGUGGCAGACUCUGCUUAUGUAUUUCAGCCAUUAGGGGAAUUGUUUGAGGAGCUACAAACGCCAGGCCCAAGCAAAAGUUCAAAGAAAAUGUCAAAUGCUUUGGAACAGAUAAUUGGUCUUCUUCAGUCCCCAAGCUGCCCAUCCUACAUUGGCAAAGCCCUGAUGAAAGCUCUACAAGGAGUCAAUGGCAAGACCCUUUUAACUCUAGUACUACCUGUAAUGGAGCGGUUGCUUGAGAAACUCACAUCUGCAUCUAGUGAAUUGCUGGAGGAUGAAGCUCUUCUACUCCAUCUCCUUCUUGGAAAGUUCAAUGAACAUUCGGCGAGCCUCUUGCCCCAAAACUCUCAAAGCCUGGACAUAUUCCUAAAAGCUUUAAACAACAACCAAAUUGUUUAUGUGGGCAUUCCCUCUACUCAGAUCACUGCACUUGGGCAGAUUACGAAGACAUUCUUUGCUGCAAUAGAAGAUGGCAAUGUUCAACAGAAGCUGCUGGCUGCUCUCUUUGACCUGCUGCUUAACUGCAAAGAUGCUGCUUGUUCUCAGGCUGUUAGCAGUGCAUUUAAGUCGAUUUCUGUCCAUGCUGGGCAUAUUAGUGCAGAACUGGAACCACCGUGUAAAGACAAAAGUGUUUCUACUGUUCGACAAACCAGGAGGCAGAAGAUGAUGCAGCAACAACAACAACAAAGGAAAUCCCAAGUACCAGAAGCAACAUCAGAAGAAGGAAGCGUUAACUGGCCCAGAAUAACCCUCAUUCUAGAACUUCUUCAGCACAAAAAGAAGCUCAGAGACCCACAACUUUUGGUUCCGUCCCUAUUUUACCUGCUGUCUAGGUGCCUUGAACCUUCCACUACUGAACAGACCAGUUUGGAAUAUACAAAGCAGCUGAUCCUUAGUUGUCUGCUCAGUAUCUGUCAGAAGAUCUCUCUGGAAGAUGACAAGCCUCCUAAAGAAGUCCUUGAUGAGGAAAAGUUCAACGUGGAACUUAUUGUUCAAUGUGUGAGAACUUCAGAGAUGCCCCAAACUCAUCAUCAUGCCCUGCUCCUCCUGGGAGCCGCUGCUGGAAUCUUCCCAGAUAAAGUUCUACACAACAUCAUGCCUAUUUUUACAUUCAUGGGAGCCAGUGUGAUGCGGCUGGAUGAUAACUACAGUUUCGAGGUUAUAAGCAAAACUGUUCAGACCGUUAUCCCUGCGCUCAUUCAGGCUGGUGAUGAUGAAUCUGAAGAGACAAAGGAUGACUUGGAAGAAGUGGUCGGAAACAUUAUCCAUGUGUUUGUAGAUGCUUUGCCUCAUGUGCCAGAACACCGCCGCCUGCCCAUUUUGUCACAGCUCAUACAAACUGUAGGGCCACAGCGAUUCCUUUGGGUGCUUUUAGUUCUCCUCUUCCAGCAACAUGUGACCAAAACUAUCAACAUGGCCGUCAAUGGAGAAAAGGAUGCUGUGUUGGAGAGGGACACGGAACUCUGGGUUUCUGUUUGCUGUGAAUUCGGCGUUCAUGAGCAAAUUGAGAGCUUGAUUAAGCUGCUUCAGUUUCUUUCCAAACUCCCUGAAAAUAAAGAUGAAGAUGAUAAAGAGGAAAAGAAGAGCAGAACCCGGAAGCAGAAAUCUCAGGAAGUUGGAAGCCAUCUGUUUAGUGUGGAUACUCAUUCUGCCAAGGAGCUGCGUCACUUUAAGUUCUUGUCUGUAUCGUUUAUUGCUCAGCUUCUGGCUUCCAACAGUUUUGUCGGCAAGGUUGUUGACUGUCAAGCUGCAGAACAAUUAGAAGUAUCAGAACAAAGGUUACUGGAAGAGGUCCUCUGCUAUAUCAAUCUAAUAGCCGCCUCAGUGGAAAACAACGCGGACAAACCCACUGCAAGAUUCUGGCGAGCACUUCUUAAUAAAUCUUAUGAGAUGCUGGACAAGGUGAAUGCACUGCUUCCUACUGAAACGUUUAUCCCAGUUAUUAGAGGUCUACUGUCCAAUCCACUGCCUUCUGUACGGCGAAAAGCUAUGGAUCUCCUAAACAACCAGCUACAGCACCAUACAAGGUGGCAGGAAGAACAGAUUGAAUUGAUAUUGGGCCUGAAUAAGGAUCUGCUUUCCAUUGUACAUCGCAAACCGAAUGUGGAGGAGGAAGAGCAGGCAAUUAACAGGCAGACUGCCCUAUACAGCUUGAAGCUUCUCUGCAAAUGUUUUGGCCCUGAGAGACAGCAGGUGUUUGUGUCUGUUCUAAAUGCUGCCGUUGACCUCGUUUCUGCAGAAGAGCCAGAAGAGAAGAACGUGCUGGGCAGUGCUCUGCUGUGCAUUGCUGAAAUUACCAGCACCAUCAAAGCUCUGGCCAUCCCACAGUUACCCAGAUUAAUGCCAGCUCUGCUGUCUACUUUGAAGCAUAAGAAGGAAUUGCUCACCAGUGAGAUACAUCUACUCAGUACCGUGACUGCUCUGCAGAAAGUAGUGGAGACUCUGCCUCACUUCCUCAGCCCAUAUCUGCAAGAUUCCGUAUUGCAGGUUACCCACCUUGACAAGAUUGCACUUAAAGUCGGUCCAACAUCUCAGCUAUCUGCAAGAGUGACGGUAUUAAAAACCACUUUAGCAACAAAACUGGCGCCCAGGGUUCUUCUUCCAGCCAUCACCAAGUGUUAUUCACAAGUUGUGGAGUCUCAGCAGAGUUGCUUGGGGUCUCUGAUGGAUAUCCUGAAGGAGCACAUAGCUAUUAUGGAGAAGCAAGAGCUCUCCUCUCACCAGUCUGAGCUUACUGCUUUCUUUUUAAAGGCCUUGAAUUACAGAGCUGAACAUACUGAGAAGGAUCUGGAGCAAGUGGGUACCAACGAGGGCCAUAUCAUUAACUGUCUACUCAUCAUGGUGAUGAAGCUAUCAGAGGUCACAUUCCGGCCUCUCUUCUUCAAGCUUUUUGACUGGGCAAAAACUGAUGACGCAUCAAAAGACAGACUCCUGACCUUCUGCCGCCUGGCAGACUGCAUCGCCGAUAAGCUGAAAGGGCUCUUCACAUUGUUUGCAGGCCAUUUAGUAAAGCCCUUUGCUGACAUUUUGAAUCAAACUAACACCAUAAAAACAGAUAAACCAUUUUUUGACUCAAAGAACAACACUGAGAAGAGCUGCUUGUUACUAGACUAUGUCAUCCACUGUCUCCACAAAAUCUUUCUAUAUGAUAACCAGCAUUUCCUGAGCAAGGAGAGAACAGAAGCAUUAAUGAUGCCAUUGGUAGAUCAGCUUGAAAAUUUGCUUGGAGGAGAUGAGAAAUUCCAUGCAAGAGUGAGCGAGAGCUUGAUACCAUGCAUAGCCCAAUUCUCUGUUGCUAUGGCAGAUGACUCCCUGUGGAAACCUCUCAACUAUCAGAUCCUCUUGAAAAUGCGACAUUCUUCUCCCAAGGUUCGGUUUGCAGCAUUGCUUGCUUUGAUCGAUUUAGUUGAAAAGCUCAAAGAGAAUUACAUGGUCCUGCUGCCUGAAUCCAUCCCUUUCCUUGCAGAACUCAUGGAAGAUGAGUGUGAGGAGGUAGAACAACAAUGCCAGAAAACAAUAAAGCAGCUGGAAUCCAUUCUAGGAGAAUCACUCCAAAGCUAUUUUUGAAUGAAGAUGUAAAGGACAAGAAAUACUUUCUGGGCGUGUGCAUUAUUAUUGACCUUUUAAGCAAAUAUGAAAGAUGUUAACAUGGCAUGUUACAAUAAGGUUUGGUAUAAAGAUAAGAUUACUUGUGCUAUUUUAAAGCACCAGUUAGCUUUGCUGGCCAGACCGUUAUUUUGGGGUCCCCCUUAUAUUGAUAACCCCCCCAGUGACACUGCUACGGACCCUGCACCAGAUCACAGAAAACAGUUUGGCAAUUGCUGGGUAAAUGUAAGAUAAAAUAAAUUUUACCUGUGUGAGCAAAUGUUUAUUGUUACAUAUUUUAGUACAAGACAGUGAUGAAAACAUACUUAGGCUUAACUCUUUGGGCUUGCACAUAAAUGGUUUAAGGAAUGAACAAUUCUUAGAAAAUUAUAUUGGUAACAAGAAAGGAUAAGGAAGUAAAAUAAAAUUAAUUUUGAGCGUUUAAAACUGCUCAAAAUGAUCGGUUUCUUUACAGUGGCAAAUUUUCUUUGGGAGCCCCUAUGUAUAAGGGGCCUCAGCCUCUUUUUUGUUCAUAUUUUUCUUACAGGAUUUCCAUGAACAUUUUUUUUUCUGUAAAUCCACUUGUAGAUUUUCCUUUGUCUAGGUUAUGUCAGCUUGUUUCAGGAACAUUGGGCCACAGAUAUAUAACAAUAAAGCAUGGGUACACUUGCAGGUUGAAAAGUUGGAAUAUAUAAUUUUAAAAUAAAAAAAAUUAAAAGUC